rnacentral:rRNA from 1 species
GCAAGUCGAACGAGAAAGCACUUUCGGGUGUGAGUACAGUGGCGCACGGGUGAGUAACACGUGGGUAAUCUACCUUUUGGUGGGGGACAACAUCCCGAAAGGGGUGCUAAUACCGCAUAAGUCCACUUCGGUGGGGAAAGGCGGCCUUCGGGCUGUCGCCAGAAGAUGAGCCCGCGGCCCAUCAGCUUGUUGGUAGGGUAAUGGCCCACCAAGGCCGAGAUGGGUAGCUGGUCUGAGAGGAUGAUC